AAAUCAUCCAUGACUUCCUGCAAUGGAAGAUGAGGACACAGCUAAGUAUGAACAUUCAUCUUUUGAGGGCCACACAGGCACAAAUGUUACAGCUACAGGAGGAAAGAAGGUCACAACUAAGGAAAAGGGGCUGAGGGAACUCAAAAAAUACUGGAACUGGCAACAGAGACCACCAUCAAGGGAUAAAUUUACUUCAGCACCUACACACAAAACGCAGAGCAGCUGGAGAAAGGGGCAUGGGAAAAAAAGGCUGCUCAAGAGCAAACCUGAAGACCCUGUUUAUUAGCCAUUUCUCUCCCUGCAAGUGACUGGCAAUCCAUUUUGACUGAACUUGGGAUUCUGAGAUGCUCCGAAUGCCCUCUCUGGUGUUUUU
rnacentral:antisense_RNA from 1 species